rnacentral:rRNA from 1 species
GUUAGUGGCGGACGGGAGCGUAAUGCAUGGGUAACGUACCCCCGGCUCAGGAAUAGCCUUGGGAAACUGAGGGUAAUACCUGAUGAUCCCGGUUGGCCGCAUGGUUGAUCGGGCAAAGUUGCGGCGGCCGGGGAGCGGCCCAUGUCGUAUCAGCUAGUUGGUGAGGUAACGGCUCACCAAGGCGACAACGCGUAGCGGGACUGAGAGGUUGGCCCGCCACAUCGGGACUGAGACACUGCCCGGACACCUACGGGUGGCUGCAGCAACGAAUAUUCCGCAAUGGGCGAAAGCCUGACGGAGCGACGCCGCGUGUAGGAUGAAGUCCUUCGGGAUGUAAACUACUGUCAGGGGUUAGGAAGACCUGACCAACCCCAAAGGAAGCCUCGGCUAACUCCGUGCCAGCAGCCGCGGUAAUACGGAGGAGGCAAGCGUUGUUCGGAAUCACUGGGCUUAAAGCGCGUGUAGGCGGACCAGUAAGUGUCUUGUGAAAGCCCUCGGCUCAACCGAGGAAUGGCUGGGCAUACUGCUGGUCUUGAGGCAGGUAGGGGCGGGUGGAACUCUAGGGAGCGGUGAAAUGCGUAGAUAUCUAGAGGAACGCCGGUGGCGAAAGCGACCCGCUGGGCCUGUUCUGACGCUGAGACGCGAAAGCGUAGGGAGCGAACGGGAUUAGAUACCCCGGUAGUCUACGCCGUAAACGAUGCGCACUAGGUGCAAGGGCUUCUGACGGUUCUUGGGCCGAAGCAAAAGUGAUAAGUGCGCCGCCUGGGGAGUACGGCCGCAAGGCUAAAACUCAAAGGAAUUGACGGGGGCUCACACAAGCGGUGGAGCAUGUGGAUUAAUUCGAAGCAACGCGAAGAACCUUAUCCAGGGUUGACAUGCACGGAUUAACCCUCCGAAAGGAGGGCCCUGCCCUUCGGGGUGAAACGUGAACAGGUGCUGCAUGGCUGUCGUCAGCUCGUGCUGUGAAGUGUUGGGUUAAGUCCCGUAACGAGCGAAACCCUUGUCGCUAGUUGCCAGCGGGUCGUGCCGGGCACUUUAGCGAGACUGCCGGUGUUAAACCGGAGGAAGGUGGGGACGACGUCAAGUCCUCAUGGCCCUUAUGCCCGGGGUUGCACACGUGCUACAAUGGGAUGUACAGAGGGAUGCAAGACCGCGAGGUGGAGCAAACCGCAAAAAACAUCCCUCAGUUCGGAUUGCAGUCUGCAACUCGACUGCAUGAAGUUGGAAUCGCUAGUAAUCGCGUAUCAGCUACGACGCGGUGAAUAUGUUCCUGAGCCUUGUACACACCGCCCGUCACGUCAUGGAAGCUGGGAG